UUGUAUGCUGAUGAGUCUUGUGUGUUUUUUUUUCUCUGUCUCGCUAUGACAGAGAAAUGUAUAUGCUCAAUAUUGCUGUUUAAACUGAUGCUCAAAUUUCCAAGCACCACCUGAACGCCUCAUCGGUCUUUAACUACUCACUGCACCAACUGUCGUCAUUCCGCUUUGCUCUCUGCUGUGGAACUUGACUCGCAUCUGUGCUUUGCCUGUGUGCAGAAGAAGAACAAGGACCAGAUCUCCAGUCUUCUCU